AAGAGAUGGCGACCGGCGCACGGGUGAGUAACACGUAUCCAACCUGCCGAUAACUCCGGAAUAGCCCUUCGAAAGAAAGAUUAAUACCGGAUGGCAUACGAAUAUCGCAUGAUAUUUUUAUUAAAGAAUUUCGGUUAUCGAUGGGGAUGCGUUCCAUUAGUUUGUUGGCGGGGUAACGGCCCACCAAGACUACGAUGGAUAGGGGUUCUGAGAGGAAGGUCCCCCACAUUGGAACUGAGACACGGUCCAA
rnacentral:rRNA from 1 species